rnacentral:rRNA from 1 species
UACGGGGGGGGGGCAAGCGUUUGUUCGGAAUUACUGGGCGUAAAGCGUGCGCAGGCGGUGAUGUAAGACAGAUGUGAAAUCCCCGGGCUCAACCUGGGAACUGCAUUUGUGACUGCAUGGCUAGAGUACGGUAGAGGGGGAUGGAAUUCCGCGUGUAGCAGUGAAAUGCGUAGAUAUGCGGAGGAACACCGAUGGCGAAGGCAAUCCCCUGGACCUGUACUGACGCUCAUGCACGAA